rnacentral:tRNA from 1 species
GGAUUAAUAGCAUAAUGGUAGUGCCACUGUCUUCAAAACAGUUUGUAGGGGUUCGAUUCCCUUUUAAUCUG